UUACUUACCUGCAGGGGAGAUACCAUGAUCGUGAAGGUGGUUUUCCCAGGGUGAGGCUCAUCCAUUGCACUCUGGAUGUGCUGACCCCUGCGAUUUCCCCAAAUGUGGGAAACUCGACUGCAUACUUUGUGGUAGUGGGGGACUGUGUUCCCACUCUCACCUG
ensembl:snRNA U1 U1 spliceosomal RNA